GCGUAGUUCAGUGGUAGAGCGCCUGUCUGAUAUGCAGGAAACCGGCGGUUCGAAUCCGCCCGUUC
rnacentral:tRNA from 1 species